rnacentral:rRNA from 1 species
GAUGAACGCUGGCGGCGUGCCUAAUACAUGCAAGUCGAGUGAAUGGAUUAAGAGCUUGCUCUUAUGAAGUUAGCGGCGGACGGGUGAGUAACACGUGGGUAACCUGCCCAUAAGACUGGGUUAACUCCGGGAAACCGGGGCUAAUACCGGAUAACAUUUUGAACCGCAUGGUUCGAAAUUGAAAGGCGGCUUCGGCUGUCACUUAUGGAUGGACCCGCGUCGCAUUAGCUAGUUGGUGAGGUAACGGCUCACCAAGGCAACGAUGCGUAGCCGACCUGAGAGGGUGAUCGGCCGCACUGGGACGGAGACACGGCCCAGACUCCUACGGGAGGCAGCAGUAGGGAAUCUUCCGCAAUGGACGAAAGUCUGACGGAGCAACGCCGCGUGAGUGAUGAAGGCUUUCGGGUCGUAAAACUCUGUUGUUAGGGAAGAACAAGUGCUAGUUGAAUAAGCUGACACCUUGACGGUACCUAACCAGAAAGCCACGGCUAACUACGUGCCAGCAGCCGCGGUAA